UCGAGGAUCUUCGGCAAUGGGCGCAAGCCUGACCGAGCGACGCCGCGUGUGCGAUGAAGGCCUUCGGGUUGUAAAGCACUGUCGCGAGGGAGAAAGGGGGAAACCCUUGAUCGACCUCGGGAGGAAGCACGGGCUAAGUUCGUGCCAGCAGCCGCGGUAAGACGAACCGUGCGAACGUUGUUCGGAAUCACUGGGCUUAAAGGGCGCGUAGGCGGGUUCCUAAGUCUGGAGUGAAAGCCCACGGCUCAACCGUGGAAGCGCUUUGGAUACUGGGGGCCUCGAGGGAGGUAGGGGCGUGCGGAACUUCCGGUGGAGCGGUGAAAUGCGUAGAUAUCGGAAGGAACACCGGUGGCGAAAGCGGCGCGCUGGACCUCUUCUGACGCUGAGGCGCGAAAGCCAGGGGAGCAAACGG
rnacentral:rRNA from 1 species